AGGAGCCGUAUGAUGGGAGACUAUCACGUCCGGUUCUGGGAGAGGCUCGGGGUGAAAUUCCCCUUGCCUACUCGAC
rnacentral:ncRNA from 1 species